AUUGAACGCUGGCGGCAGGCCUAACACAUGCAAGUCGAGCGAGCGGCGGACGGGUGAGUAAUGUCUGGGGCUCUGCCCGAUGGAGGGGGAUAACUACUGGAAACGGUAGCUAAUACCGCAUACCAUCAGAUGAGCCCAUAUGGGAUUAGCUAGUAGGUGGGGUAAUGGCUUACCUAGGCGACGAUCCCUAGCGGGUCUGAGAGGAUGAUCAGCCACACGGGAACUGAGACACGGCCCAGACUCCUACGGUAGGCAGCAGUGGGGAAUAUUGCACAAUGGGCGAAAGCCUGAUGCAGCCAUGCCGCGUGGAUGAAGAAGGCCUUCGGGUUGUAAAGUACUUUCAGUGAGGAGGCGUUACCGACAGAAGAAGCACCGGCUAACUCCGUGCCAGCAGCCGCGGUAAUAC
rnacentral:rRNA from 1 species